GGGGAUUUAGCUUAGUGGUACAAGCACCUGCUUGGCAAGCACAAGGUCAUUGAGUUCAAUCUCCA
rnacentral:tRNA from 1 species